rnacentral:rRNA from 1 species
GACGAACGCUGGCGGCGUGCCUAAUACAUGCAAGUAGAACGCACAGUUUAUACCGUAGCUUGCUACACCAUAGACUGUGAGUUGCGAACGGGUGAGUAACGCGUAGGUAACCUGCCUGGUAGCGGGGGAUAACUAUUGGAAACGAUAGCUAAUACCGCAUAAUAUUGAUUAUUCCAUGAUAAUUGAUUGAAAGAUGCUAUUGCAUCACUACCAGAUGGACCUGCGUUGUAUUAGCUAGUAGGUGAGGUAACGGCUCACCUAGGCGACGAUACAUAGCCGACCUGAGAGGGUGAUCGGCCAAACUGGGACUGGGACACGGCCCAGACUCCUACGGGAGGCAGCAGGAGGGAAACUUCGGCAAUGGACGAAAGUCUGACCGAGCAACGCCGCGGGAGUGAAGAAGGUUUUCGGGUCGUAAAGGUCUGUUGUAAGAGAAGGACGGGUGUGAGAGUGGAAAGUUCACACUGUGACGGUAUCUUACCAGAAAGGGACGGCUAACUACGUG